CCCAGACUCCUACGGGAGGCAGCAGUGGGGAAUAUUGCACAAUGGGGGAAACCCUGAUGCAGCGACGCCGCGUGAGUGAAGAAGUAUUUCGGUAUGUAAAGCUCUAUCAGCAGGGAAGAUAAUGACGGUACCUGAGUAAGAAGCCCCGGCUAACUACGUGCCAGCAGCCGCGGUAAUACGUAGGGGGCAAGCGUUAUCCGGAUUUACUGGGUGUAAAGGGGGCGUAGACGGCAUGGCAAGUCUGAAGUGAAAGCCCGGGGCUCAACCGCGGGACUGCUUUGGAAACUGUUAAGCUGGAGUGCAGGAGAGGUAAGUGGAAUUCCUAGUGUAGCGGUGAAAUGCGUAGAUAUUAGGAGGAACACCAGUGGCGAAGGCGGCUUACUGGACUGUAAAUGACGCUGAGGCUCGAAAGCGUGGGGAGCAAACAGGAUUAGAUACCCCGGUAA
rnacentral:rRNA from 1 species